UUGGUCACUAGGCAAUGUGGUGUUCAGGUCGUUCCGCAGAGGUUCUGCUCCACCCUAAGUCCAUCAAUGAGUACGGUAGUACGGACAUGGCCCGCAGAGGGUGAAAGGCCCGUGGGGGUGGAGAUUCGGCAGGCCAGAACCUCUCUGGGUAGACCUUGGAGUCGGGUUGUUUGUGAAUGCAGCCCAAAGUGGGUGGUAAACUCCAUCCAAGGCUAAAUACUAGCACGAGUCCGAUAGCGAACAAGUACCGUGAGGGAAAGUUGAAAAGUACUUUGAAGAGAGAGUAAACAGUGCGUGAAACCGCUCAGAGGUAAACAGGUGGAGUUGAACUGCAAGCUUUGAGAAUUCAGCUGGUGAGUGUGGUUUGAGCUUGGUCAAAUUGGUGAACUCCGGGGUCUGCGUAGUAGCAGGUCUCUGCCUUCGGGUGGGGAUGCGCGAUACACUUGUCAAGUGUUGUGCGCUUCGGUUGUUCUUCGGCCUGCUCGUCAGUGCACUUUCUCAGAGUGGUCACCACGACCGGCACUGCUGUCUGGCUGCUAUGGUUAAACCGGUUUUUCAUUGUCCUUGUGGCUUUGUGUUAUCGGGACGGCAGGUAGCUCGUUGACUUGCUUGUGGCUUGCUGCAGGCGUCCGGUUUUCGAGUGUUAUUAGCUGACCUUAGUGGUUCUGUGCAGUGUGUCGGAGGCGGCGGCUUGAGGUGUGUGCAUGCGUUCCUGUUCUGCUGACUUGUCCGGGUUUGGUUAUUUUGUUGCUUGUUCAAGCAGGCCUAAUGAUGGCUCGGAUUCGUUCGGUGGGCGGUUGCGUGUGUGGCACUAAUGCAAGGGCCAAUAGUCUGUGGUGUAGUGGUAGACUUCCACCUGACCCGUCUUGAAACACGGACCAAGGAGAGUAACAUGUGCGCGAGUCAUUGGGCGUUACGAAACCCAGAGGCGCAGUGAAAGUAAAGGUCUGACUCGUUCAGGCUGAGGUGAGAUCCUGUCGUUUCUCACGCGUGGUACUUCCAAGCAUCGAGCGGCAGGCGCAUCACCGGCCCGUCCCAUGGCAGUUGUUUUCGGACAGUUUUCGGUCGGGGCGGAGCAUGAGCGUACAUGUUGAGACCCGAAAGAUGGUGAACUAUGCUUGCGCAGGUUGAAGCCAGAGGAAACUCUGGUGGAGGACCGCAGCGAUUCUGACGUGCAAA
rnacentral:rRNA from 1 species